GGUGAGGAAUAGAUAGGUAACGUACCUCGGACUCGGGAAUAGCGGCGUCCUUCGGGACUUUAGCGAAAGUGCCGGUAAUACCUGAUGACAUCGCUGGAUCGCAUGGUCCGGUGAUCAAAGGUCCGCUGGUCUGAGCUCGGCCUAUCUCCUAUCAGCUUGUUGGUGGGGUAACGGCCUACCAAGGCUACGACAGGUACCAGGCGUGAGAGCGUGGCCUGGCACAUCGGGACUGAGACACUGCCCGGACAUCUACGGAUGGCUGCAGCAACGAAUAUUCCGCAAUGGGCGAAAGCCUGACGGAGCGACGCCGCGUGCAGGAGGAAGCACCUCGGUGUGUAAACUGCUGUCAGGGGCUAGGAAGCAAGUGACCAACCCCACAGGAAGCCUCGGCUAACUCCGUACCAGCAGCCGCGGUAAUACGGAGGAGGCGAGCGUUGUUCGGAAUCACUGGGCUUAAAGCGUGCGUAGGCGGGAUGGAAGGUGCUUUGUGAAAGCCCUCGGCUCAACCGAGGAAUUGCUUGGCAAACCGUCAUUCUUGAGGCCAGCAGGGGGACCUGGAACUUUGGGUGGAGCGGUGAAAUGCGUAGAUAUCCAAGGGAACGCCGAUGGCGAAAGCGGGGUCCUGGGCUGGUACUGACGCUGAGGCACGAAAGCGUGGGGAGCAAACAGGAUUAGAUACCCUGGUAGUCCACGCCGUAAACGAUGCGCACUAGGUCUCAGAACCUCUGACGGUUUUGGGGCCGUAGCAUAAGCGUUAA
rnacentral:rRNA from 1 species